rnacentral:rRNA from 1 species
GAUGAACGCUAGCGACAGGCUUAACACAUGCAAGUCGAGGGGCAGCACGGGAGUAGCAAUACAACUGGUGGCGACCGGCGCACGGGUGAGUAACGCGUAUGCAACCUACCUAUCAGAGGGGAAUAACCCGGGGAAAGUCGGACUAAUACCGCAUAAAACAGGGGCACCGCAUGGUGAUAUUUGUUAAAGAAAUUCGCUGAUAGAUGGGCAUGCGUUCCAUUAGGUAGUUGGUGAGGUAACGGCUCACGAAGCCGACGAUGGAUAGGGGAACUGAGAGGUUGGUCCCCCACACUGGUACUGAGACACAGACCAGACUCCUACGGGAGGCAGCAGUGAGGAAUAUUGGUCAAUGGGCGGGAGCCUGAACCAGCCAAGUCGCGUGAAGGAAGAAGGAUCUAUGGUUCGUAAACUUCUUUUGCAGGGGAAUAAAGUGCAGGACGUGUCCUGUUUUGUAUGUACCCUGAGAAUAAGGAUCGGCUAACUCCGUGCCAGCCGCCGCCGUAAUAC